rnacentral:tRNA from 1 species
GCCUUCGUGGUGUAGUGGUCAGCACGCUGGGCACGUAUUCCGGAGGUACGUGGUUCAAGUCCUGGCGCAGGCA